rnacentral:snRNA from 1 species
AACUUUUCACAGGGGCAGUAUCAUAACCAGUGUUAAAGGUGUGAUUAUUGCUAGCUGAGAACGUUUCCAUAUACCUUGCCAUGACUACAUCAAAUAUCGUCAGCACUGGCAACUUUCUAUGGCGAGUCUAUAGGAAC